GACAAAGCUGCGGAACGUGGUGGUUGAUGGUGGUCUCACCCCACGCCCUCCCCUUAGCCCACCCUGUAGAGCCGCAGAGCUCCUCGCCAGUCCCUGCCGGCCGCUCCCACAAGCCAGGACCUCUUCUGAGACCAGGCUCCAUGUCUAACUUGGCAUCACCACACACAUGGUCGGUGUCUAGACCUAACUCAGCCGAAACGGAGUCGAGUGCCUGCACACCCAGCCUUGUCUCCCCAGCCUUUCCUGACCCAGCGAACAGCAGCGCCAAACGUCUAGGGAUUUUGUGUUUCCUCUCCCCUCCCCUCAGCAUCCAGCCAAGUCUAGCAGCAAAUCCCAUCGCUUUGACCUCCAAAGCACACCCCACAUCCACUCACUUACCCCAUCCCGGGUCCUUCUGCCCUCUUUUCUUGCCUGGUGAAAUGGACUUACUGAAAUUGACCCCCUGCUUCCAUUUCUGCGGCUCCACACUUCCGUGCAGAGCGUGUAUUAAAAAACACAAACGGGAUUGUG